rnacentral:lncRNA from 1 species
AGUUGAACCGGAUCUCUGCUUCCCUUCCAAACUUCUCCUCCAAAUCCAUCUCCUCUAGGAAGCCCGACUGGGUUAAUCCCUCCCACUGAAAGGGAGGAAUCCACCUUCUCCUUCCUCUGUCCCUCCCCCAGCACCCAGUUCAGUGUGUGUGUGUUUGUCUAUGUGCUGCCUGAGAGGUGCAGGGAUGGGGUGGAGAGUGUCCUAAGAGUCGAACCGGAUCUCUGCCUCCCUUCAAAACUCCUCCUCCAAAUCCAUCUCCUCUAGGAAGCCCGCCUGGGUUAAUCCCUCCCGGCUCCUCCUCUUCCCUGUCCCUCCCACUGAAAGGGAGGAAUCCGCCUCUCCUUCCUCUGUCCCUUCCCGAGCACCCAGUUCAGUGUGUAUGUGUGUCCUACCUCUCCCCUCACCCCGCAACUCUCCCAUCUGAUUCAGGAUGGGUCUGGUGGGAGCUGGGCCUCUGUCAGUCAAUCGUAUUUGUUGAGCACUUAGAGUGCAGAGCACCAUAGUAAGCGCUUGGGAGAGAACACUAGAACCAUAAUCACUUGUCAGCUGUGUGACUGUGGGCAAGUCACUUAACUUCUCUGUGACUCAAUUCCCUCCUCUGUAAAAUGGGGGUGAAGAUGUGAGCCUCACGUGGGACAACCUGAUGACCCUGUAUCUCCCCCAGCACUUAGAACAUUGCUCUGCACAUAGUAAGCGCUUAACAAAUACCAACAUUAUUAUUAUUAUUAGAGACAUCCCCUGCCCACAACGAGCUGACAGUCUAGAAAGUGGGGGGGUCUGACUCUCAUCAUCCCCCUCCCAGCCCCGCGACCUCUCGGAGCCACGGCGGACACCCCGGUGGAGGAGUCCAUAUUCCACAUCAUCCGCUGUUAUCACCACUACGCGGCCCGCGAGGGGGACGUGGAGACCCUGACCCUGCAGGAGCUCACAGACCUGCUCACCGACAACGUCCCUCAGUUCUUCACCAACCUGGGCCGUAGCGACCCCUGCUAUAUCGGGGAGCUCUUCAAGGUCGCCGACAGGAACAAAGACAACCAGAUCUCCUUCGACGAGUUCUUGUAUAUCGUGGGCAAGCUGGUCCAAGACUACCACCUGCGCUACCACCGUCAGCUGUGCGCUGGAUCCCAGCCCGCCCCCAGCCUCUACUGAGGCUGGGCCUACCCACCCCACACACCAGCGCCUCCCUGCCGGCAGGUCUGGAAAGAGGGGCGCCUCCCUCCCCCGCCACCAGGGGGCGCCGCGCCUCCUACCCCAACACCAGGGGUCGCCGCGGCCUAAAUUGGGGUUCGGGGCGAGCGGAGCGGAUCUCGGGAGUAAGGGGUCCGUGGACAUUAAAAAUUUAGUUGGAUGAAAUCACCGGUUCUGUUGGCUUCUCUUCGAGGGCAUGGAUGGGGUCUAUCGGCUUUAUUGCCCUUUCUCGAGCGCUUAUUACAGUGCUGCGCACACAAUAAGGGCUCGGUCAGUAGCGUUUAUUAAUUGGAGGGGUGCUGGG